GCUAAUACUAGCCCNAAAACCCCCAACCAACGUUAAUACCANNNNCAUAUGUAUAAAAUAAACCAUUCACAGAUAUAAAAGUAUAGGUGAUAGAAAGUCUACUCUGGCGCCAUAGAGAUAGUACCGCAAGGGAAAGAUGAAAAAAAAAUAACCAAGCACAAAAUAGCAAGGACCUACCCCUGUACCUUCUGCAUUAUGAACUAACCAGAGACUAUUUCGCAAAGAGAACUANAAGCCAACUACCCCGAAACCAGACGAGCUACCCAAAAACAGCUAAAAGAGCACACCCGUCUAUGUGGCAAAAUAGUGGGAAGAUUUCUGGGUAGAGGUGAUACACCUAACGAGCCUGGUGAUAGCUGGUUAUCCAAGAUAGAAUAUUAGUUCAACCUUAAGCUUACCUAUAGAACUGNUUAAUCUCCCUGUAAGCUUAAUUGUUAGUCUAAAGAGGGACAGCUCUUUAGACAUUAGGAAAAAACCUUAUAUAGAGAGUAAAANNAUUUUUAACUAUCAUAGUUGGCCUAAAAGCAGCCAUCAAUUAAGAAAGCGUUCAAGCUCAACAUCAACUAUCUAUAAAAAUUCUAAACAUAUUACCGAACUCCUCAUAUCACAUUGGAUUAAUCUAUUAUAUCAUAGAAGCAAUAAUGCUAGCAUCAGUAACAUGAAUAAAUUCUCCUAUGCAUAAGCCUAAAUCAGAUCGAAAACCUCGCUGAUAAUUAACAGCUUAGUACUAACAACCAUAAACAAGUCAGUAUUACCCACACUGUUAAUCCAACACAGGCAUGCUCUUAAGGAAAGGUUAAAAAAAGUAAAAGGAACUUGGCAAANUCUAACCCCGCCUGUUUACCAAAAACAUCACCUCUAGCAUUACUAGUAUUAGAGGCACUGCCUGCCCAGUGACACAUGUUUAACGGCCGCGGUACCCUGACCGUGCAAAGGUAGCAUAAUCACUUGUUCUUUAAAUGGGGACUUGUAUGAAUGGCAACACGAGGGUUUAACUGUCUCUUACUUUCAACCAGUGAAAUUGACCUGCCCGUGAAGAGGCGGGCAUAAAAUAAUAAGACGAGAAGACCCUGUGGAGCUUCAAUUUAUNUAAUGCAACCACCAUNAAUACAAAUCUACGGGCUCAACAUANUACUACCACUGCAUUAAAAAUUUUGGUUGGGGUGACCUCGGAGCAUAAUUAAACCUCCGAANAGACUAAACCAAGGCUAUACAAGUCAAAGUAAAUCCGCCUACNNNAUUGACCCAAUAAUUUGAUCAACGGAAAAAGUUACCCCAGGGAUAACAGCGCAAUCCUAUUCCAGAGUCCAUAUCGACAAUAGGGUUUACGACCUCGAUGUUGGAUCAGGACAUCCUAAUGGUGCAGCAGCUAUUAAGGGUUCGUUUGUUCAACGAUUAAAGUCCUACGUGAUCUGAGUUCAGACCGGAGCAAUCCAGGUCGGUUUCUAUCUAUUCUACAUUUCUCCCUGUACGAAAGGACAAGAGAAAUAGAGCCUACUUCACANNAAGUGCCCUCCUCCCAUAAAUGACCUAAUCUCAAUUUAACAAAAAUCNACACAUAUGACCCAAGAACAGGGAUU
rnacentral:rRNA from 1 species